CAACCCUCAAGCCCCCGGGUUUGGUGUUGGGGAUCGGCUCUGCCUUACGGCGGUGCCGCCCCCGAAAUACAUUGGCGGUCUCGCUGCAGCCUCCAUUGCGUAGUAGCUAACACCUCGCAACUGGAACGCGGCGCGGCCAUGCCGUAAAACCCCAACUUCUGAA
rnacentral:misc_RNA from 1 species